GAAGUGUCACUUUGAGACUUACGAGGCUGGGUCAUACAGAUGCCACACACUUCUGUCUUAUUCUCUUGGGAUGCUUGUUCCUGAAAUCCAGCCACUGUGCUGCAAGGAAACUAACCAGGAGAGUUCAUGCCUCGGUGUCCCAGAUGACAACCUUUGUUGACCCCAGACAGGUAAGUGAGCCUUCAGAUGACUUCAAAGCCUACCUGUGGAGUCAUUUCCAGCCUGUGAAUUAUUUCAGUUGAUGCUGCAUUGAGCAGAGAUGAAGUGUCUCUGUCAAGCUCUGCCUAACUGCAGAUUUGUGAGUAAAAUAAAUGACUGUUGGUUUGUUAAGCCACUAAGUGUGGGGUGAUUUGCCACUCAGAAAUAGACAACUGGAACAGAUUUUGGUACCUGGAGAUGGGAUGCUGCCAAAACAAAAACCUAAAACAUGUGGCAUUGGCUUUGGGACUGGAUAGUAGGCAAAGCUGGAAGGGCCUUGAGGAGAUAAAGUAUUAGCAGGGGCUUAAAGGACCUUGAGGAGGCUGUCAGUGAGGACCGAAGAGAAAGUAAGGAAAAUGUUAUUGGAAGCUGCAGGGAAAAAGACCUUCAUUUUAUAGUGGUGGAGAAUUGUCCCUAAAGUCACCUGCAGUAAUAUGGAAAAUAGGAAAUGUCCCGAAUGCAGACAAUAAUCUAGUUAAGAAGAUUUGUAGGUAGAAUAUUGAAAAUGUCACCUGACUUCUCACUGGCAAUGCAUUAGAAAAGAGAUAAGAGAAAGGACAGUUAAAUAUAAGGAGCCAGGACUUGCUGGGUACGAAAAUUACAUGUUUUCUCAUUUCCCGCCUCUCCAGAUGGUAAAUGAUGCUUGAAUUAAGAAAUGGCUUACAGCCAAUCAAUAAUGCUGCAGAAAUAUGUCUACAUAUAAAGCCAAGGGCAUGACUGGAAAUCCUUUUGUUAAGAACUCAGAAAGACUUCAAGUGGUGUUAAAAAAAUGUUUUUUUUGAGAUAGGGUCUCACUCGGUUGCCCAGGCUGGAGUGCAGUGGUACAACCAUGGUUCACUGUAGCCUCGGCCUCCCAGGCUCAAGGAAGUAGCUGAGACUAUAGGCACAUGUCACCAGGACCAGCUAAUUAAUUUUUUUUUUUUUUUUUUUGGUAGAGAUGGGGUCUCACUGUUGCCAAGGCUGGUCUUGAACUCCUGGGCUCAAGCCAUCCUCCUGUCUUGGUCUCCCAAAGUACUGGGAUUACAGGCAUGAGCCACUGUACCUGGCCAUAAGGUGGUAUUUUAUAUGCCUUUUCAGAUAGACAGAAGUUCUUCUAAGGAUCUUAAGGAAAUGCCUCACAGAUCUUCCCUGCUAAACAAUGGUGCAUCUAAAGAUCUCGAAAGAGUUGUCCCAUAGCAGUCUCAUAGAUAUCUCUAGGUAGAGUAGGACUUCUCUUAAAGAGAUUUGUGGAUAUGGCUUUUCUCUAAUAGGGUGGAUUGGAAAUUAAUACACACAAAGCUCACAAGGUUUAAAGAAAAGAAAAAGUAGAUUGCCUGGACUGAAAUGAACAAAGACAGUACAAAAAUAAAAGAGUUCAUUGGAUCCCCAAACUUCUGCAGCAGAGAGUAGUCUGAUAAAAUGCAUUAGUUGCAAACAUGAGCUACGUUUUAUCAAAAGGAAGAAAUCCCAAGGAGUGGACAUCUUUUUGAGCAGGAGGGUUUACAGUGGUUAUCCUCUGCCUGUUCUCCUGUUGUCUGUUGGGUGUGUGUCACGCAUGUAACUUCUCUCUGGUUCACAACUCUUCAGAAUGCUACUGAAGGAACUGAAUGCAGGAGCUGCUCCCACGGAGUCUCAUCCAUACUCAGACCUAAAUGACAUGAGGAGAUCCUGGACUGUGUGUUAUUACCAUAAUGAGUCGUGGAGUCUCUGCUCUACUCCUCUGAACCUGGAUAGAACUCUGUGACUGUGUUGGCCAACAGAGUAUGAAGAAAGUAAUGCUUUGUGACUUCUGAAGAUAGGUCAUAAAAAUGCCACCUACAAUUGCCUUGCUCUCUUGAGAUCUUAUUCUUGGGGCCCAGCUUCCAGACUGUGAGGAAUCCAAGCAGCCAUGUGCAUAGGCUCCAGCUAAGGUUCCAGCUGACAGCCAGCAUCAACCACCAGGUACAUGAGUGAGUCUUUGGAUGAUUCCUGCCUCUGACCAUCAAGUCACCUUCAGCCUUUGUGCCACCCUGGGGAUGCCAUGCAGAACAGAGAAAAGCUGCCCCUGCUAUGCCAUACACAAAGUGCUGAUUCAUGAGCGAGAUAUAUGAUUGUCACUUUUCCAAAGCCACUUAGUUUGGGAUGCUUUGUGGUGCAGCAAUAGAAAACUGGCACAAGGAGAAUGGAAAACAAAUUGUGAUAUACACAUACAAUGAAACUCAGUCAUAUAAAGGAAUGAAGUAUUGGUAAAUGCAACAACAUGGAUGAAUCUAAAGAUCCUAUGCUUAGCAAAAGAAGCUGGGAACAAAGAGUACAUAUGGUAUGUUUCCAUUUAUUUGAAGUUCUAGAAUAAGCAAAGUUAAUCUAAAUGAAUACAUGGACCCAUGAUUGCCUUGGGUGCAAAUGACUAAAAAAUAAUGUAAGGAAACAUUCUUGGUAGAUGAAAAUGGUCUAUAAUAGAGGUGUGGCUCACAAAGGUGCAUCUGUUUGUCAAUAUUGUGCAGGUAACAUUUGUGCAUUUCAAUAUAAGGUAUAUAAAAGUAUAUUAAAAAAUUUACCUUAAAACUUUUUAAAAGUAAUAAAAAUUAAGUGGGGAUGGAGAGUACAUGAAGCUAUAGAUCAUACAAGAAUGACAAAAUGUUAGUUAACUACUCAAGUUCGGUGAGUAGUACAUGAAAGUUCAUUAUUCUAUUCUGUUUAUGUUGUAGAUGUUUUAAAUUUCCCAUAAUAAAAAGUUUAAAAAGAAAAAAGUACUGAUUUUUGUCAAAAGUGAGUUUUGACUAUAAAUCAUUGGGAUGUUUUUCUUACAUGACUGCUAGAUGGGCUCUGAAAAUAAUACCAAAAUAAUAUGUUUCCAAAAUGUUUUGAAUUAGGCAGUAUUGUUUAAAUAGAUGAAUAGCAUACCAUGUUUUAAGACCACCAAAGUACAACACUCAAUGCAACGUAUAAAUAUUUGUUUCUAAAAUCAGUUUUAUUGUUUGAUAUGGUUCAAGCUUUUACUUUAAGCAGCGCAUAAAUUUUUCUUUCUUUCUUUUUUUUUUUUUUUUUUUUUUUGAGACGGAGUCUCACUCUGUCACCCAGGCUGCAGUGCAGUGGCGUGAUCUCGGCUCACUGCAAGCCCCGCCUCCCGGGUUCCUGCCAUUCUCC
rnacentral:lncRNA from 10 species